rnacentral:rRNA from 1 species
UACGUAGGGUGCAAGGCGUUGUCCGGAAUCAUUGGCGUAAAGCGCGCGUAGGUGGCCAUUUAAGUCCGCUGUGAAAGUCAAAGGCUCAACCUUUGAAAGCCGGUGGAUACUGGAUGGCUAGAGUACGGAAGAGGCGAGUGGAAUUCCUGGUGUAGCGGUGGAAUGCGCAGAUAUCAGGAGGAACACCAAUAGCGAAGGCAGCUCGCUGGGACGUUACUGACACUGAGGCGCGAAAGCGUGGGAGCAAACAGG